rnacentral:rRNA from 1 species
UACGUAGGGUGCAAGCGUUAAUCGGAAUUAUUGGGCGUAAAGCGUGCGCAGGCGGUUUUGUAAGUCUGACGUGAAAUCCCCGGGCUUAACCUGGGAAUUGCGUUGGAGACUGCAAGGCUGGAGUCUGGCAGAGGGGGGUAGAAUUCCACGUGUAGCAGUGAAAUGCGUAGAGAUGUGGAGGAACACCGAUGGCGAAGGCAGCCCCCUGGGUCAAGACUGACGCUCAUGCACGAAAGCGUGGGGAGCAAACAGG